GUUUUAUUUUUAUAACGUGCUUUCACUUCACUACCGAGCGCAGCUCUGUGCGCCUUGGGUAUGUGCUGUGGUUUGCUGUGGUGCUCUUAUGUUUACUGUAUUGAAAGUGUUUUGCGUAGAAUGUGUGCAGUACCCAGUAGUGCAAUGUUCUAUAUGUUAUAAAUAUUUGCAGAGGUAUUGUUUUCAGACGCGUUAGCUUGUUUCUCCUUGGACAAAAUAUUUCGAGAAUCGCUGCAUAGAUUCGGAUGAAACUUUCAGGGAUGUUUGGCCUUGUGACCGGAACGAAAUGAUUAGAUGUUGGGAUCGAUCCAGUACCGGACAAGUUGCUACAGGUGCUGGAUUGCGGCAAGGACGGUGCAGCGCAUUUAAAGGUUUCAUGAACGAAAUUUACCUCAUUGCAUUUUUUUUUUUUGUUCUUCGGAACUUAAUCUCUCGGAGCUUUUUCAUCGAACCAUUGAGAUACGAAAAGUCUUUGU